AGGCAAAGCACCACCAAGCGCUGAGAGAAUCUCCGAGCUGGUGUCACUUGUAAUCACUGGCUUUUCAGGGAACCCAUUUUAUUACGGCUUCUUGAGUUUUCUUUUGUGAAGCCACAGCCAGUCCUUCUUGGCUGACUCCAAGUGUGGUCAGGAAGCAGUGGUAACCCAUGUCUGUCUAUUGCAAGUCUACACUGCCACACAAAGCCUGAGGUACAGCUGCUGCUGCGGGUCUGUUGAUCUGAACUGCUGAUUUGAAGUGGAUUGAGAGGAUGGAACAAUAGAAGGAGGAUAUGGCUCAGGACAGUCAAGUACUGGAAGAGGAAAGGUACAAAGAGGUGUUGGCACUGAAUGACCCUGAACAGGGCUGCACUGGAAAUAUCAGAGGAAAGACUGCCUAACAUCCGAUGUUCUCUAGGGAUGCUUGCAAUGGAAAUCUCCCCAGACACAACUCAGCCGGUCUCUGCUGUUGAUGGAAGUUCAGUUUAUGCAGUAGCCAAAGCAUUAAAUGUCUAAUCUGCUCUCUGAAACCUUCGCUGCAUUCAUCAUUAAUGUGGAAAAGGGCUCAAAUUACCUGCAAUUUACUCAGCUUCUGCCGCAGACUUGCCUCAUUUUGGCAUUCAUAAGACAAAUCAAGAGAGAGGAAAUCGACCGUGUCCU
rnacentral:lncRNA from 1 species